GAUGAACGCUGGCGGCGUGCUUAACACAUGCAAGUCGAACGGAAAGGCCCAAGCUUGCUUGGGUACUCGAGUGGCGAACGGGUGAGUAACACGUGGGUGAUCUGCCCUGCACUUCGGGAUAAGCCUGGGAAACUGGGUCUAAUACUGGAUAGGACCACUUCCUGGAUGGUGUGGUGGAAAGUUUUUUCGGUGUGGGAUGAGCUCGCGGCGUAUCAGCUUGUUGGUGGGGUAUUGGCGUACCAAGGCGUCGACGGGUAGCCGGCGUGUGAGGGGGUACGGGGACACUGGGGCAGUGAGACGGCGCAGACUCCUACGGGGGGCAGCAGUGGGGAAUAUUGCGCAAUGUGCGCGGGCCUGAGGCGGCGACGCCGCGUGGGGGAGGACGGCCUUCGGGUUGUAAACUCCUUUCGCGAGGGACGAGGCGUUUUUGUGACGGUACCUGGAGAAGAAGCACCGGCUAACUACGUG
rnacentral:rRNA from 1 species